CCUACGGGAGGCAGCAGUGGGGAAUAUUGCACAAUGGGGGAAACCCUGAUGCAGCGACGCCGCGUGAGUGAAGAAGUAUCUCGGUACGUAAAGCUCUAUCAGCAGGGAAGAAAAUGACGGUACCUGACUAAGAAGCCCCGGCUAACUACGUGCCAGCAGCGGCGGUAAUACGUAGGGGGCAAGCGUUAUCCGGAUUUACUGGGUGGAAAGGGAGCGUAGACGGCAGCACAAGUCUGGAGUGAAAUCCCGGGGCUUAACCCCGGAACUGCUUUGGAAACUGUGCGGCUGGAGUGCAGGAGGGGUAAGCGGAAUUCCUAGUGUAGCGGUGACAUGCGUAGAUAUUAGGAGGAACCCCGGUGGCGAAGGCGGCUUACUGGACUGUAACUGACGUUGAGGCUCGCAAGCGUGGGGAGCAAACAGGAUUAGAUACCCCUGUAGUC
rnacentral:rRNA from 1 species